rnacentral:rRNA from 1 species
AAUAGAUACCCUGGUAGUCCACGCCGUAAACGAUGAGUGCUAAGUGUUAGAGGGUUUCCGCCCUUUAGUGCUGCAGCUAACGCAUUAAGCACUCCGCCUGGGGAGUACGGUCGCAAGACUGAAACUCAAAGGAAUUGACGGGGGCCCGCACAAGCGGUGGAGCAUGUGGUUUAAUUCGAAGCAACGCGAAGAACCUUACCAGGUCUUGACAUCCCACUGACCGGUAUAGAGAUAUACCGUUUCCCUUCGGGGACAGUGGUGACAGGUGGUGCAUGGUUGUCGUCAGCUCGUGUCGUGAGAUGUUGGGUUAAGUCCCGCAACGAGCGCAACCCUUGAUCUUAGUUGCCAGCAUUUAGUUGGGCACUCUAAGGUGACUGCCGGUGACAAACCGGAGGAAGGUGGGGAUGACGUCAAAUCAUCAUGCCCCUUAUGACCUGGGCUACACACGUGCUACAAUGGAUGGUACAAAGGGCUGCAAGACUGCGAAGUCAAGCCAAUCCCAUAAAACCNUUCUCAGUUCGGAUUGCAGG